UCUUCUUCUCCAGCGGCAGCUCUUCUCUUCUACUCUUCUCGCCGUCGACGCCACCACUAAUUGCUACAACAUCAUAAACAUCACUCUACCAGCAUCAUAAUCACCUUCUUCUUCUUCGAUUACUCCCCCCCUAUUUUCUUGAUUUCAACCAUCAACCAGUAGCACCUGCAACCGUAAUAUCAACAUCAACAACUGUGGGGGUUCGAUUCUAUUGUUGAUGCAUAUAACAAAUCUAAGAUGUCAAGAACUCAAACAAUAAAACACCUUCUCUAUACAAGAUCAUUUUAUUACUCAAUCUUCAAGUUUCAAGUUUUAUGGUAAUGAAUCUGUUUGUUUGUUGUUCUUUUACGAUAAUAUUUUGUUGUUUGAUUGAUUAGAUUUUGAGAUCGAAAUUUCUAAACAACGAAGAUUAUCUAUGCAAUUAAGUUUGGAUUUUUAUUUCGUCCGUUAAUUUAUGUAUCAUUCUGCAAUUUCUAUUGAAACUAAUUUCAGUCGGUUAUAACCGAUUUUACCAUCUCAAAAACCGGACCGAGUCGGCUCGGUUUAAAACCGAGCCGAAAACACCACAGUUCGGUUUCAGUUUUCAUUUUGAAAACCGACACAUAUGCAGUUCGGUCAACGAUUUUGCCUCAAAACCGCACCCACCGACCGUUGUGCAACCCUACCUGGAAUCGUCAGCCCCAAGUGCUCCUUCAAGUACUCGGUUCCCCUCAUUAACUUUACCCUCUCCACAACACCCAAAAAAAGAAAAACUACUCUCGAAACAGUCGCCCAAAAUUCUCAGAUCCGAGAAUUCCCUGUAUUUUAGUCGCGCAUUUCAUAUGCAAAUCGGGUGGAUCUAGUUUGCAUUGGGGACGGAUUUCGACAUCUUAGGGUAAUCGAAUUACAAGGUGGAAAAAUCUUGUAGUUUGUUGAUUCAUUUCGACAAGGGAACACCAGCGCAAUUGAAGAAUCAUCAGUGGUGAAACGCUUCUUUCUCAACUCUUCAUAACUAUUGUUCGUUAUUUUUUACCAUCAGAAGAUCAUACAAUUCACAAACUGUUUGCUUCUUUAAAAUUAUUGAUAAAAUUGAAAAGUUUUACCUAAGAUGAUCUUGAUUUGUCGGAAUUUAAGAAAUAAUCUUCAGCAUCCAAAUGAAUACAUACUUUAGAUUUCUUUGUCGUUUGAAUGAGACUGAAAUUAUCGAGCCUUUGAUCCCGUCUAUAUUGAACAUCGCCAUCAUUUUAUCAGAAGAAAUGCAAUUUUGGCAAUUAUGUCGAUUUAUAAUUGAACUUCCUCAAGGUGAGCAGCUUCUUGUUGAUGCUUCUUGAUUGAGAAAGCGCUUUCAUCUAAGCAAUUGACAUUGCUCUUGAACUGAUAACUCCUCGGAACAUUGAUGAAGUUGUUCAAGCACUGAAGAAGGAAGUUGUGAAGACUCAGAGCACCAAGAGUGCGAAGAAUGGGGAAUACCGUCAAAUGCUUGUUCAAGCUAUUCAUUCUUGUGCCAUAAAAUUUCCUGAAAUUGCCGGCACUGUGGUUCAUUUAUUGAUGGAUUUCUUGGGUGAUAGCAAUGUUGCUUCAGGGCUGAAGCUGAUCAAGAUUUAUUGAUGGACUUCAUCUGCACCAACGGCUGUCAGGGCUGCUUCCAACUUCUACAAUCUCAGAGUGAUAACAAUGUUAAGCUUAUUGUGCUCGAUUGAUUGAAUGACCUCAAAACUUUUCUUAAUCACUCUGCUGAUUCUGCUGCAGGAAUCAUCCCAGAACAUUCUCUGCUGGUCAAGCUCCUUCCGAUGAACCUCAUGAGAACAUCUACCACAGUUUUGAGGCUGGUUCCAUUACUGGUGUUCCUAUAUCUACAAGCAAGCAUCUGAUGUACAACACCAAUACCCCAGCUGAAAAGAAAACAGCCUGGACUACCCAGCCUGAAACUGUAGAUGAUACCGUGUGUUUGGAGAGUUCUUUGUCAACUCCACGUGGAGAUAUAAGCAGGCACGUGUCCUCCGGAUCUUGGUGGGAAGACAAGACUGAAUUGAAGCCUGGGAAUUAAAGUUCUCCUGAGGCAAUUUCUAUUCUUGAGAAGCUUUCACCUGUUAAAGUCAUCUCUUCUCCUGAAGCUGGCCCUAGUAUUCCUCAGAUUUUUCACCAGGUAUAACUGAAAUGAUAAGGAAAUAUGGGGCAUUUCAGCAGUUGGUUUGAAGUUCUGUGGUUAAUGAGGGCACCAUUUAGACGAAGGUGUGCGCAAGAGUAUCAUUCGUGCUUCAAUCAGAUCUUAAGUGUAAGGUGCUUGACGAUUCUGAUUCUUCAAUUAGGGAACUUGCUCAUUCAGUGAUAUUUGAAUUGCAUAAUAAUCAGAAAGAAUCCAUGGAAGCUUCAAUUGAGAUUGUAAUUGAAAAAACUGCUUCAUGUUACCAAAGAUAUGGUAGCAAAGGUCUCCUGAAGCAGGCCCUAGCUUCCUCAGAUUCUGCGCCAGGUAUCCAACGGAAAUGAUGGGGAUGCAAGCAUGAGGAAAUGUGGGGAACUUCACCAGUCGGUUGAAGUUUCUCUGGUUAGUGAAGACUCCAUUUGGACGUAGAUCAUCUCCACAUCUUUGGCUUCCUCCGCAAGACCAUCCAGGAAGGAACCCAUGGAUGCAACUAGGUCUUCAAUUCCAAGGGGAGAAUGCCGGGCGGCAUACUAAAACAGGAUCUCAGAAUAACUUUCUGCGGAAGCACGUGCGCGGUAAGCCUGGUUGGUGUAAUGCAAAUCAGCCUUUUCAAGUUUUCCAUCCACAGAAGACAUGCCUCCAUCACCAACUGUAAGAUGCAUAAAGUUUCUUUGUUUCAGAUGAGACUUCAGGAUGAACUCGUGACUUAACCAUCCAAAGACAACCGGAGGAUCAUCUGAUGCAACUAAUGCGAGUGGUGUAUUUCCUGUAUGAUAAUGGGCAUGCUUGUUGUAAAACGCGUCCGUCUUUGACAUAUGGUACAUUACCCAGAUAUGCCGUCUGCAAACCCAUCUGAGCACAAUCAUAGAUGGGAACACUUACAUCAUAGAUGGGAACAACAUUGAAUUUAUAUUUAUGAUUCAACAUCAGUUCUCAACUUCAUUCUCAGUGUAUCAGUUGAGGAAUUCCAUCAGACGAGCGCUGUAGUAGUACAGCCCGUUUAUAGAGGUUGACCUUAUGAUUUUUGUACAAAGCAAGAAAGACAGACAGUGUUACUGAUCUCUCUAUGACCAGUCAGAUAUUGUUGGAACUUCCUCCCAAAAGAGAUAGACUGUCGUUUCGAAGAAAAGUAACUUAAAGGUAUUCUGUGGGUUCCUUUGAUAGCUAUGGUCUCAGAAAUGGACUGCUGGAAUUGUCCCAGAACACAGUGUCUGCAGUUUUGAGGCUGGUUCUAAAACUGAUGCCCUAUUUCUACAAGAAGGAUCUAAUGUACAAUGCCCUCAGCUGAAAACAGAACAUCUUGGACAACCCAGCCUGGAACUGUAUAUCUUAGCGUGUAUUUGGAUAGUUCACGUGUAAAUAUAAACAGGUACAUGUCCUCGGAUCUUGGUGGGAUGGCUGAUUUGAAACUGCGAAUGAAAAUUCUUUAGGCACAGUUUCUAGUCUUGAGAAGGUUUCACCUGUUAAGUCACCUCGUCUACUGAAGCUGGCCCUAGCAUUCCUCAGAUUCUUCACCAAGGUAUCUAAGGGAAAUGAUGGGGAUGCAAGCAUAAGGAAACGUGGGGCACUUCACCAGUUGAUUGAAGAUUCUCUGGCUAAUGAGGACUCCAUUUGGACCAAGGCUGGAAGAUCACAGUACUAUGGUUAGAGCCUUAGCUUGGUGCCAUUCCAGGCUAGCUUGCUUGCUUGUGGUGGAGGUGCAGCUGAUGGACAUGUUAAAUUCUGGAACACCCACACUGGAGCUUGCUUGAAAUCUGUCGAUACUGGUAUUGUGAAGGAAAAAUGAGAGAGAACAACCUUGCGGAAGUAUCCGUCGAUGGUUAAGAUUGCUGAUCUCACUGGUCAUACUUCAAGAGUCAUAUUCAUGGCUCAUAGUCCAGACGGAUGUGCUGUAGCUUCUGCAGCAGGUGAUGCAACUCUAAGAUUUAGGUUCGCAUUUGGGACUCCUGAAUUAGCUAAGCCUGCAACUCCUGAAUUAGCUAAGCCUGCAACCAAAACCCAUUCGCAUGUUGGAAUUGCAUCCAAUGAAAAAAUCACCACUGAGAAGGGAAGCACUGCCUCAGCAGCAAUGAUUGGACUUAUAAUAUUGGCAGGGCUGGCGCGGACGCCUACCCCUCAGAAACAAAUUAUGACGUAGAGUUUCCUUGGAGAUCUUAGGCCAGCGCCCUCCCAAAGUGCAAUGGGAGUCACAAACCUAGGCCAUGAUCCUUCAUGAUCAAUCAUAGACCCCGUCCAGGUAAGUAUGAAAUUCUAGUCGAAUUUCAAGCUUAACUUAUAGGUUUGUUUUUCUCCUGUUCUUUCUUGCCUGACCUAUGCGGGACUAAUAUUACCUUGCUCUCAUUUAUAUCCUGCUUUCAUGGGUUGAGAAGUUGGGCCUCUAUAAUCUU